AAUAGAGAGAAGAAGAGAGAAAGUGAAUAUGUGUAUUUCCUAUCUUGUAUGGAACUGUAUUACAUUUUAUAUAGAAUUGAAAUACAACUGAAAUGGAUUCAAUUCUAACUAACUUUGUUAUUUCGAGUUCUGUGCCUAACUAACUGUAACUACUUCCAUCACUAACUAAUAUAUGAAGAUCUCUUUUUCAUGUAACAUUUCCCUUACUUUAAUUUAUUUUCACAAGGUCGAUUUUCCUUAUUUUUCUUCACAUCUAGAGGGAAGGCAGAUCUAGUUAUUCUGGAUUAGACAGGGGAUGAGAAAUCAUUAUUCGUGUCAUUUAUUCAAUACUUGUCGGACUCGGGCUUCACCCCAAAAUGACAGAAAGAAAGAUUAGCUCAUUUUUGUCUUUCAUGGAUUGCUGCUCGAUUUUACAUGCAUCAGUAAUAAAGAUGUUGCAUUGGGCUCAUGCCAUCUCUCUGAAGAUUUGUAGUUUUUAUCUCCUUUUGUAAAUAACUUCCUUCGACUUUUGAGAAGUGCCUAACAAUUUCCCAGAUCUGCUCCCCAAAAAAAUUAAGGAACAUUUGUCAUAAAUUUGUCUUUUCCACCUGUUAAAGAGCUGCUUCACCUAACAUUAGAUGCUGAACUUUUAACUCGGAUUUCGGGCAUGAGGAAAACAUAUUACGUAAAAAAUCUUGGAAUCAAUUGAAACACUUGCACAAGAGCUAGACUUUUUCGUCUAUGGCACGGAACUGUCAUUUUGCUUGCCUACUGUGAUUCCAUAGCUGUGAUGGUUAAGCCAAAUCCAGAGUUGUGCUUCCUUUUUCUUUUCAAAUAAUAUUUGACUUGUUGGAACUAAGAGUUGUUCCAAGAACAAAAAAAGAUACAAAUAAACUCCAUUUUCCUAUUGUCUUUUGAGAACAAGCUACUUAUAUAAGUUUGCCUGUCUUUGAUUUGCAGCAAAAUAACACAGAGCUUCUUGUUGGUAUGGGUGAGACAGCAGUUCAAAAAGCAAAUGCAUGAGACUGAUCCGGCUGAAAUUCAGAAAUUGAAGGAUGACAAAUGCUGCAAGGGGGCUAAUAAAUUACAUGUUGCAUGAAUCUGAAAAGAUGACUGGCCGGAAAUUCAGCCAGAAUUAUUGAAUUUGUCUGUUAGCAAACUGCUACAAGGAAUUCCAAGAUACCAGUCCCAAUCUUGGUUUAGGAUGUACUAAAAGUUCUCGAUCAGUACUAAACAUUGUACAGGGUUUGGUUUUAAACAUUUGGCCGCAGCCAGAAGUUUCAUUUAUAUUACUUUUCCAUACCGUAGUGAUACAGAUGCUGUGUCUAAAUUUAUGAAGUAUUUUAGUGGUGAAUAGUUUUUUCUUUGCAAAGUAGUUAAAUUCUGAAACUGAAUCAUAUAUUGACAACUUUCAGAAAUGGUGAAAUUUCUCAGGCAAAGUUAUCAUUGUCUGGCGCACACAAUUUCUUAUAUCGAUAGUAGUACUUCAUGCUUCAUAUUCUCUAUAAGCAAAAGAGCCACCUAAAAUGCCAACAUGGUAUAAAAUAAUGCUUCAUUCCUUUGAUCAAUCAGAUGAUGAAAAAAUUGUACAAAAAUAACGGUCUAAACUAAA